rnacentral:rRNA from 1 species
CGCUAUCACUCCUACGGGGAGGCAGCAGUAGGGAAUCUUCCACAAUGGACGAAAGUCUGAUGGAGCAACGCCGCGUGAGUGAAGAAAGGGUUUCGGCUCGUAAAACUCUGUUGUUUAAAGAAGAACAUAUCUGAGAGUAACUGUUCAGGGUAUUGACGGUAUUUAACCAGAAAGCCCACGGCUAACUACGUGCCAGCAGCCGCGGUAAUACGUAGGUGGCAAGCGUUGUCCGGAGUUUAUUGGGCGUAAAGCGAGCGCAGGCGGUUUUUAAGUUCUGAUGUGAAAGCCUUCGGCUCAACCGAAGAAGUGCAUCGGAAACUAGGGAAACUUGAGUGCAGAAGAGGACAGUGGAACUCCAUGUGUAGCGGUGAAAUGCGUAGAUAUAUGGAAGAACACCAGUGGCGAAGGCGGCUGUCUGGUCUGUAACUGACGCUGAGGCUCGAAAGUAUGGGUAGCAAACAGGAUUAGAUACCCUGGUAG